GUUUCCGUGGGUCAGGCACAGGGCUCUGGGUCACUGCUGUCGUGGACACUGAUGGACUCGUGUUAGACCUCAGCAGAUUCUCUCUACCUCCCACCAUGUUCUCCGUGUUCUCCCCCCCUCAUCUCUCCGUGACACCGAAGAGAGACCUGGGUUCACGCCCACCAGAGUGCCCACCUGGGAACACAACGCAUUUCCUCAGAGGGUCCCCGCAAGCGCGGGCGUGUCCUCGGUGGAGGGUCCGUGUGAGCAGGCGUGUCCUCAGCAAAGGGUCCCCACGAGCGCAGGCGUGUCCUCGGCAGAGGAUCCCCACAAGCCACCUGUUCUCCGUGGCAGCUGACAGGCAGGAGGCUGCAUCCAGAGAUGCCACUCUUCCUUCUUGGGGCCAUGCGCUGUUGGCCUUGGAACACCUGCUGCUCCAGCUCUUGGGCCCAGGAUUCCACCACCUCAAGCUCCUCUUCCUGUGCCGGCCUUGGGGACCCCCCUCUGGCCUCGCCUCCGCUCCCAGCCACCGGCCGGGUCAUCUGUGGGCCGCACAGCCUUGUGAGGACUCUGCCGGUGGGGGCGAGCACAGAUGGGCUGUGAGAAGAUUGAUUUCCCUCUGAGGAGAUGGCUCAGUGACGCUAGAAGAAAAACGAGGAAGACAAGGUCCCCCAGGAGCGCUCAGGCCGUGUUCUCUACGCAGAACUGCGUUUUCACAACAAAACAGCCGACCAGAUGUAGGGUGAGAGAUGCACCAGAGCAGCUGAACGGGGCACAGCUGGGGAUGCCUCCGCACGGAGCAGGGCCCCGAAGCUUUCUUAGAAACAGGAUCUGACGCCCAGAUCUGUGCUCCCUGGAGCCCUACUUCCCUGAGGCUAGAGUUCCCCAGAGCCCACAUCAGGAUGAUCCAAGGGGGCUUUGGAAAUAUGCUCAGGCGGGGCCCACCCUGACCAACGCAGGCAGGCGCUCAGGGCUGGGUGCUGCUCGAAGCUCCUGAUGGCUCUGGUGUGGCCGAGCGUCAGAACAGGCACUGGCUCAGGCUGUGCCCCAGGUCGCUUUGGUCCCAUCUGCCAGUCAGGCUGACCACAGGGACGGGCCAGAAAGGCCCGAGCUUUUCCCACCCGGAACGGAUGGCAGGACAUUCCAGUUUCACCUGUGGCGUCUCCUCCGGAGCAUCCCCAAAAGUGGGCCCAAAGGUCAGACCUCAGCGCCCAGCCCUGCGCCCUCCCUGUCACAGGAGCUCAGGGGCUCCCAGCCACCCCGCCCCAGACCAGCCCUGGUCACACAGGACAGAGGGCAUGGGGGUCUGGACCGGCUGAGGGGAGCUGGUGGCAGAGAUGGCUGACCCCAGCCAGGGCGAGGCGGGGCUGUUUUUGACACGGGUUUGGUAACCUUCUAGACAGUGGAGAAUAUUUCUUAACUACUUUGGGGCUCAGAACCAGGAAGGCUAUUUUUCCAAAUUCACCCAGGGAAAGCCAUGAAUGCACAGUUCAUAAAACACCGUCAUCACCCAUAAAACUGACGUGGCUGCCCCCGCGAGGCCCUUCAUUAGACAUCCGUGUCCCCGCCCUCAACCUUCCUCCUGAGUUACGGGGAUAAAGGCUGGGCUUUGAUGCAUCAAAUCUGGCUGACGGAGCCGUCUGAGGAGGCCACGCCCGGGUCCUGCCGGCCCAGUGUCCACCGGCUCAGCCGCAGACCAUCACCCGUGCAGGGCGACCGGCCAUGCAAGCCGCCACUGUCUCCCUGACGCCUCUGCGGCAACGGCAGGGGUGAGGUUUGGCAGCACACCUGUGACAUCACCCGACGGAGCUGCAGGGACAGCGGCUCAAUCUCCAGUUUCGUCACCUAACGAUCACUGGCCUGCAGUGGUGUCCAGAAGCGGGUCCCUCUGAGUCCCUCCUGCCGUGGGUUUGUCUUUCCCACCGCAGGUUUACUCACUGCUGCUGCUGAGUCUUUCCCUGGAGCUCUCCCAGCCGUGCUGCUCAGCCAGCCCUGAAUGCAGCCCCUCCCCUCUCCUACUGUUCCUCUCUGUGGCACAGGGUCCUGUGCCUGUGUCUCGCUUCCUUGCAUUUCGUAUUUUGGAGUGGGGGCGUUACUGGUGGCCCCCCCCAUGGCCCCUCUUUUCCGUGUCACCCAUCGGCUGAGGGGCGUCCCCAGUACCCACUCUCCAAGCACAGCCUCCUCUGUUUGGACGCACCAGCCCUCCCCCGGCAUGACCCUAGCAGGCGCCCUCUGCAGGUGAGGAGUUCCAGGAGGGCACAGGGUCUGGUGGUCUGGGCCAGCCCCAGCCUUGCAAUCACUAAAGCAAGGGACAGAACCUGCACAGAAACCUGCAGUCACAGGAGGAACGUUCUGGAAGCACCUGCCAGAAGGCACCUCUGAGGCGUCUGCUGUCCCCUCCAUGAAGGCACAGUUGGGUUUCAGUUGUGAUGCUGGGGCUGGGGGACAGCAAGGGCAGAGCUGGAUGCAGGGCCCCCCCCCCCCGCUCUGGGAAGAGAGGUGCCAGCUCCUCUGCUCCAGGAAGAGAGGCGCCAGCCACCCGGGGGCCCUGUGCGAGGCUCAGCUGUGGCAUCUCCACAGGGCGUCCUCAUCAUCAGCGGGAACCUCGGCUUCCUGAACUGGCUGACCAUGGUGCCCAGCCUGGCCUGCUUCGAUGACGCCACCCUGGGAUUCUUGUUCCCCUCUGGGCCGGGCAGCCUGAAGGACCAAGUUCUGCAGAUGCAGAGGGAAAUCCGAGGUGCCCGGUCCAAACCCAGAUUCGGCUCCGUGGUGCGGCGUGCAGCCAACGUCUCACUGGGCGUCCUACUGGCCUGGCUCAGCGUGCCCGUGGUCCUCAACUUGCUGAGCUCCAGGCAGGUCAUGAACACCCACUUCAACUCUCUUCACAUCGUCAACGCUUACGGGACCUUCAGAAGCAUCACCAGGGAGCGGAUCGAGGUGAUCCUGCAGGGCACAGCCAGUGCCAACGCCAGCGCCCCCGAUGCCGUGUGGGAGGACUACGAGUUCAAGUGCAAGCCAGGUGACCCCAGCAGACGGCCCUGCCUCAUGUCCCCAUACCACUACCGCCUGGACUGGCUGAUGUGUUUUGCGGCCUUCCAGACCUACGAGCAGAACGACUGGAUCCUCCACCUGGCUGGCAAGCUCCUGGCCAGCGACCCCGAGGCCUUGUCCCUGCUGGCACACAACCCCUUCGCGGGCAGGCCCCCGCCCAGGUGGGUCCGAGGAGAGCACUACAGGUACAAGUUCAGCCGUCCUGGGGGCAGGCAUGCUGCCGAGGGCAAGUGGUGGGUGCGGAAGAGGAUUGGAGCCUACUUCCCUCCCAUCAGCCUGGAGGAGCUGUGGCCCUACUUCAGGGACCGUGGGUGGCCUCUGCCCCUGCCCCUCUAGAUGUGCACCAGAAAUAAAGGUGAAAACCCAGC
rnacentral:sRNA from 1 species